rnacentral:rRNA from 1 species
GAUGAACGCUGGCGGCGUGCCUAACACAUGCAAGUCGAGCGAGGGUUUGCUCAGUAUUGAGUAUUCUAAGACUAGAAUGUUCAAUUCUGAGCAAAACCAAGCGGCGGACGGGUGAGUAACGCGUGGGUAACCUGCCCUAUACACAUGGAUAACAUACUGAAAAGUUUACUAAUACAUGAUAAUAUAUAUUUGCGGCAUCGUAGAUAUAUCAAAGUGUUAGCGGUAUAGGAUGGACCCGCGUCUGAUUAGCUAGUUGGUGAGAUAACUGCCCACCAAGGCGACGAUCAGUAGCCGACCUGAGAGGGUGAUCGGCCACAUUGGAACUGAGACACGGUCCAAACUCCUACGGGAGGCAGCAGUGGGGAAUAUUGCACAAUGGGCGAAAGCCUGAUGCAGCAACGCCGCGUGAACGAUGAAGGUCUUCGGAUCGUAAAGUUCUGUUGCAGGGGAAGAUAAUGACGGUACCCU